rnacentral:lncRNA from 1 species
AUUUACUUUGCAUCUUGUAGUGUCUCUGCCAGCUUUAUUAAUAGCAGUCGCAGUAUACCAGGCAGAAUCUUGGCUGACAGUGGAAUCGAUUUUAAGGGCAGCUUCUCCCUUGGUUCCUUCAAUUCUAUAAAAAGUUGGGGGAGGGAAUAAUCAAUAUAGUGGUAUAGCUUCCCUGGUUAUUGGAUUUGUAUAAUGAGCUUAGCUUUAUUAUUUCCAUACUUACCUGAUUUUGGGAUAUUUAUGAGGCACAAUGAUGUCACUGUUUUUCAACCAUACAAUGUCAGGGUUGGGGUUACCCGUAGCUCUGACUUUCAUUUCAAGUCGGGAACCUUCCUUUAUAUUGACAUUUUUCAGUUUUUCUACAAACAUCGGUUUUACCUGAUGUUCCACAGCUGAAAGAGAAAGGUCAUGAUUUAGAGGGAGUAAGGCUGAAAUACCUGUUUAUAACCCAAGUGAUAAGAAAAUUCAUUUAUUUUUAUUUUAUCUCAUUUUACCUUCCACAGUUAAAAUCACUGAAAUUGAAGAUCUGCCUGCCCUGUUUUGGGCAACCACAGUCCAUUCCCCAGAAUCACUGGGUGUGGCAGGGACAAUAAUUAGUGAUUGAGUACCAUCUUCUUUAAUGACUACUUUAUGGGUAUAGUCAUUGACAAUUUGCUGGCCUGUGAAAAUAUGUUUAAAAGAAAGUAGAUUUUAAAAUAGUUUUUAAAAAUUGUUAGAUGCAUACAUAAGCUUGUUUUUGUGUUUUUAUGAUUCAUGAGCAAAAACUUAUCACGCUUACCAUCAUGAAACCAGAACGUCUCUGGCAUAGGUCUACCAACAACCUUUAAGUCAAAUCUGGCAGUUUGCCCUUCUAAACAUUUGAAAGAAACAGGUUUUAACACAAAGACUGGUUUAUAUAGUCUCUCAAGUUGUGACUCAUCUGUCUCCUCCAGCCUACGUCCAGGGGACAUUCUUGCAGGGGACAUCCGUGCAGGAGACAUCCUUGCAGGUGACAUCCGUGCAGGAGACAUGCGUAUAGGAGACCUGCUCACUGAACGUGGAGAGAGAGAUCUGCAAAACAAAGACACACAAUACUUUCGUGAGGCAUAAAGAAAACUCAGCAAAACAAACUUCAUUUUGUCUUAUUCAUUAUUCAUGUUAUUUUAGAAUUUACUUCUUGCACGUAUUAGAAGGCACCUCAAACUCAUUCAGAUCUAAAAUAGAAUAUAUUAUUGUUGCCCCCACAACUAUGUUUUUCCUAUAUUCUCAAUUUUAGCUGGUAGUCAUUCAGUAUAUCCAGGUACCCAGGCUCAAAAAUCUUGGAAUAAUCCUCAAUACUCUCUUUUCCUUACCACUUGGAUUUAAUCAGUCACUAGACUUUUUUGAUUUAACUACUAAAACAUCCUAAUAAAUGUUGGUUGGAUAAGUAAACCAAUGAAUACAUUUAUGGAAAAAUAAAAAAUACACAUUCUUUAUCUCAGAGGAGGAAAACAUAGAAAUGAAUUUGGAAACAAAACAAAGCAAAACAAGACUCCAUCUACACAUUGCAGCCAGACUGACUUGGAGUUUGAAUGCUGGCACCACCGCUUACAGGCUGGAUGAAUUAAGACAAUUUUCAUAGAUUCCCAGGGCCUCAGUGUUCCUAUUUCCAAACCAAUAAUAGUCAUCUUUUUAUUGCAGGGCUGUUGUAUAAAUUUACAUAUGUAAAAAUCAGGUGUCAAAUAAGAGCUAUUGUGAUAUUAGCUAUAGCACUAGGAAAAUAAACAGUAUGUUACACUGAUGAAAAUUCUUUGCUCAUCUUACACAGGGGCAAGAAAUAAAAACUUCUGGCAAUUGUUGGUGUUGCCAAUGGUGCAACAUACCAUGAAGAUUAAGGAAACUUAGCAACAGUGAACUUGGACCUUCUAAUAGCUGUCUAACCCCGAGCUCAUCACUUGAAAAUGAAAAUAUCAAAUAAAAAAAGGAAAGUAUAAUUUAAAAAAAAAAAAAAAAA